UCAUCAGAGAGGGCUCACGCGAGCAUGAU
rnacentral:sRNA from 1 species